rnacentral:lncRNA from 1 species
CAGAAGUCAGGUCGGAUUAAGCCAUAGUACGGAAAAAACUAUGCUACCUGUGAGCCCCGUCCAAGGACGUAAAAAGAAGUCAGGCCACUACAAGUGCCAUAGCUUGAGUAAACUAUGCAGCCUGUAGCUCCACCUGAGAAGGUGUAAAAAAUCUGGGAGGCCACAAACCAUGGAAGCUGUACGCAUGGCGUAGUGGACUAGCGGUUAGAGGAGACCCCUCCCUUACAAAUCGCAGCAACAAUGGGGGCCCAAGGUGAGAUGAAGCUGUAGUCUCACUGAAAGGACUAGAGGUUAGAGGAGACCCCCCCGAAAUAAAAAACAGCAUAU